AUCAGCCCUGAAAUAUGAGACAAACCGAACAACCCAUUGUUGGGUUGCUGAGACUAAAUUGGUCAUUUUAAGGAAAUUUUGCAGUUUUUGGUUAAUAUCUUGAAUAUUGAAAAUAAAGAUAAAGUGUAAUGACCAAAAUUGUCAAUUGACCCCUUUAUAAGUUAUUGCCCUUUAAGGACAAUUUUACACAAGUUGUUUAUGUUUUUUUUAACUUUAAAAAUCUUCUCAAAUGAAUCUAGUAUAAAUUUUGUAUUCAAUUUCCUUGUACGUCAAGAAAAGAGGGACGAAAGAUACCAGAGAGACAGUCAAUCUCAUAAAUCGAAAAUAAACUGACAACGACAAGGCUAAAAAUGAAAAGGACAAACAGAUAAACAUAAACACAGAAACAUUGACACUAUGGCUAAAAUGGAACAGAUGGGUAAAAUGAAUUAAUUUGCUUUUGAAGAAUAUAUUACCGAUACAAAAAGCAUCUAAAUGGCAUUUUUAAGCCACUCAUUAUAAUAUGAAAAGCAAGAAUAAUCAUUGAUAAAAGAUUUAAGCAAAAAAAAAAAAAAAAAAAAAAAAAAGUAACAGGUAAGCGAUUCAGGCUAUUGAGAGAAAUUUUCCUCUGAGUUCAGUAUUUUUGUGAUUUUACUUUUCAUUAAUUCUGUGUAAUCAGAUAAUAAACAAUCUAGAACAUUACAGAUGGAGUACACAGGCUGAGAGAUUAAUUCGGUUUAAUUACCAUUAUGAAUUUGCUUUUUAAUGUGACAGCAUUCCUGCACUUAACAUUGACAAGUAUAUCUACAUCAUAAUCCUCAUAAAGCUUAUUCAUUAUAUUAAUACAAAAACUAAUAUUAUAAAGUAUAUAUCUCACAGAUUCUGUUACGAUAUUCUAUGACUUGCUUAACCUACCAUGAUUUCUUGAUUGAACGCUGGUGUUUUUUGUGUAUGCUAUUGAAACAAGAGUUUAAAAUGGCAAAAGAAAAGUAAUCAAUUAGAAAGUUGAAUGAACGCCAUCAUGAAUUGGUUAAUCGUUCAUAUGUUGAAUCAUUAAUAAAGAUACAUAUUCUAAAAUCUUCAUUUUGUCUACAUAGUUUUUUUACUUUUGUUGUAUUAUGCUAUAUUUUUAAACUUUGAUUUUAUCGAGAAAUGCAUAUGUCCCUAAUGGUUAAUGGAUGGUCAUGAAUUAGUGUUAAUGCUUUUACACUUGUAACACACAAGUGUCUACAUUUCAUGUUGGAUAGUUGUUUACCAUAAUUAUUUGUAAUAUACUCAAAUUGGACACCUCUCAUCAUAGAUCUCAUAAAUCCAAAUGGCUAGGAUCGUUAUCAUCAGAAAACUUACCGUAGCAUUCGUCUCAACUCGGCCGAUUCCGUACCCUCAUCUAAGGUAGAAGGAGAGUAGCGGAAUUUACCGAGGAUUG
rnacentral:lncRNA from 1 species